rnacentral:tRNA from 1 species
GGGCGCCCACGAUGUCAAUACGGACUUUUAAUCCGUAGGUUGUGGGUUCGAGUCCCACGGGGCCCACCA